ensembl:lncRNA
ACAUGGCAUGAUGUAAUGGACUGCUCUGAAGGGGAGCUCACUGUUCUUCAGAAGGAGAGCUGUUACAACAAGGAGAAUAGAUCUGCGGGGCUGAUCCAGGUGUGCUGGUUCUGUUGGGAGCCAGGAGAGAAACGAAGCAGGAGCUCCUGACACCCGCCGGCAGGCGAUGAAUUAGUGCAGCACAGCUGGAGCUGCUUGAGGGCUGCAGAUGCAAAUCCCAGAGCUGUUCCUGCAUGUACCGGAGACAGUGCGGCCAGUCUGGGGGUUCCCAUAUAUAAGAUAUGUCGAGGUGCUAGAGCGAAGCUGAGAAAAAAUGUAUCUUUGAAGAGGCAAAGUGGACAUGUCAUUGAUGUCUAUGGUUAUUAAGAGGGGGAUGUGCAGAAGGGAGAACCAGACUGUCCUUGGAGAUGCACGGCGACAGGACGAGAGGCAACAAGCACAAAUGGCAGCAUGGAAAUUCUCAAUAGAGAGUGAAAAAUGCCCACCAUGAGAAUGGUCAAAUGGCAGACUGGGAGCCCAGAAAGGCUGUGAGACUCCACUGUACGAGAUGCUCAAAACUCAGCCGGACAUAGCAGCCUGGUAAGAUGGGCCUGCAUGGACUGGAAGCCAUGCUUUUAAUUGCAGCUGGUGUGACCUCUGUGUGACACUGGGGUGACAUUAUCCAAGCCUCUUAAGCAGAAGCCCGGUCCCAUCCCAGUUAAAUCUGCCAGGUGAGUCCACUUACUUCUAAAUGAUGUUGGUCUCUAUCAGCAUUGCAGGAUGCAUCUUGCUGCCACUGUCCUCUCCUAGGGGCAGUUUCAAGCACAACCCUUUGAAACACGAAGCAGGAGUGGGAUGCUAGGUAUGGCUCCCUAGAGAAAAGCCACUCCCAAAGCCAGCAGGAUGCCACAGCUCUACAGAGGGAUUCUGCUCAUGGUGUCAUCACUUCCUAUGUGUGUCCCCUGUGGAUCCUGUUGUGACACAGAGGCAUCAGAUGAGCCCGUGUGUCUCCUGCACACUCAACACCUGAACACGUCAGAUGUGCACUUCUGGAAGGAGCAGUGAGAGAUGCCAUCACUCACAGUCUGUCAGUGGCCGCUGCCCAAUUCCAGGCUCCCAGCAGAGCCUGCACCCUACAAGAGGAGUGCUCAGCCCCUUCCCCAGCACUCAGGUUUCAGUGUAACUCAAUCCCAGGGCUCUCCAUACCUACCCUCUGUCUGCAGAGUCCUUUUGCAGGCUUGCUGACAUUUAUAUACCAUUCUAAAUAUCACUGAAGCAUUGCUGGGAGAGAGGAAAUGUGGAAUGAAUGACACAGACUUGCAAGCAGCAAAGGGAAGAAGGUGGUGCUGAGUUUGAUUGUAGUAACUGUGCCAACACCCCCAAGGAACACAGCCUCCUACAGACACCGUGCCUUUUCCAGGUGAUGAAAUGAACUUCUUUAGCUUUAACCCUAAGUAAACGAUGGCCCAGCUCAUAAAACAUCCUGGAGCGCAGAACUGUUUACAGACUUUUAUUUGUCUUGAGCUUCGUGCUUUGUAAGAUUGGAGGUGAUUUCAUUACCUGGCUUUGUGCAAUGUCAUUCUGGCAACUGGAUCAUAAGUGCCACAUGGAUGUUUACAGUCAUGGGGAAAUACAUUAUGGCCAGAAAGGACGGCUGCAGAUUAAUAGAAAUAUUCUUCUGGAAUACCCGAGGGCCAAUCCUGAGGAUCGAUCCUCUCUUGCUUCUUCUUAAUCUGAAUUCUACUUUGCUCUUAGCUGGAGCUGGAGAGAACCUCCCCUGCCCCUGGUGCUGCUUAGGGCAGGACCAAGCCGUCCCCUCCCUGUAAAGGGGCAUUGGAAUGGGGGAACAUUUAUUUCCCCCUGGAAUUAUUGCCCCUGCUUCAUGGUGGAUGGGAGCAGCAGUGAGGCACACCCAGCUUGGGUGUCACAUGAAACGGAGCUUGGUCAGCUUCCAGGAGUGGAAUUCAGCCUUUUCUUUUCCAAGAAAGGAUGCAAGCAAUUUGUCUUUAGAAUACUAUAAAGACGCCUCAAGAAUAUCAUAUAGUCUGCUAGUGCUGCAGAGAACCUCUUAAAAACUUAAUUGCCUGUGUCACCAAAUGAGGAGAGAGCAGUCCCUUGAAAGAUCCAGUGUUUUGAAAACAAGCAGUCAGUUCUAAAUACUUUCAAAUGGUACAUGCUUCUUUACUCCUGCUGACAAUAAGAGUAAUUGCUGAGCACAGGAUAAAGGAGAUUGUCUAAAAUGUUUUAUUUUCUUGUUGCAUCCUUUUUUUUUUUUUCCUACAAUGCAAAAAGACAGAGGCGUCCUUGGGCUGCAACCAGUCAGACAGAGAGGUUUCCAAGAGGCAGGUGAGAGGUAGAGAUCUCAACAGCAAAGUGACUCUCCUGGUUUGAGAGCACCUCCGCUCUCACCACUCGUGCUGUGAGUGCUGCCUGCAGGGAUGACAGAUCAGGACGUUUCCUCCCAUCAUUUACUCACUGCACUGCCUCACUAACAUCUCUAUUAAUUCUGGGAUACAGAAGACCUCGAGCAUCUCCGUUUGCUCACUCACCUCUGACUUUUACUGUGGCCAUAGUGUUCAGUGUGCGUGGUUCCAUCACCCGGCCUGCUCAGAGCUGAUGUCAGUGUCUGCCAUCACUCUGUUUGCCCAUUAAGGACUUGUUGGCUCCCUGCAUUUUCCUGUGUGGCCCACGGUGCAGCGUAGUGCACUGGAAAGCAAUAUCCAUUCUAACGUGAUGUGACAUGGGAAACCUCAGAGGAAGCACAGGCUUAUGCUGGCUGUGCUGCUGCACAGUCAAUAGUCCUCCUUUAUGCCUGCCAUUAAAGCAGGAGCAAACAGUUAUGAUCUAUGGCUUGACUUUUUAUCUAUUUAUCUUUUUAUCUUUUUACCUUUUGAUCUAUAGCUUCUUUUUAUUUAUGCAAUCACCACGUUUUGUUUUGGGUUGUUAUUUUUUGUUGUUGUUUUUCCUUGGUAAGCAAGUAGAUAUGCAAAGCACAGCAGAUGUCCCGAACUUGAAGAGCCAAGGGAACAUUUCUUCUUGGCCCUUAGAUGAAAUGGACUGGGCUGUGCUCCAGGAAAUAGGAAUGAUUAAUCCAUCAUUGAACAUGAACUUAAACGAGCUAAUAUUGGGCAUUUUAGUUCUGAUGUAUGCGCUAAGUGAAAGAAUCAUUCAGAGGAUAAAAGUAAUGGCUUUGGGACGGUGUUGUAAGACAGAGCGGCUCUGCAGGAGCAGGAGGGUGAGAGCAGCAGGGCUGAGUGCACGCUACUAUGCUUCCUGAGUGCAGGAAUGGGAACUGCUGCAUGACCCCAACAGUCUGCAGUGUGGGUUCAGUGCUGUGACACACACUGCCUGCUCCAGCCCCAGCUCGGUGGCUUUAGGCUUAGGAUGUGCUCCAGCUGCCAGGGUGAGUCCUUCCUUUCGUUAUCCGCUGUUCUAGUUGUGUCAUUAGCCACAAUUACACCCUUAAGCCAGAGACGGCAAUUGAUAUUUUAUCAUUGGGAUUUUUUUGCCGUGGCUUUUGUACCCAUCUGGAGUGAACAAACUAUUACAAGUUUCAUCCAAUUAUGCUAAGUGUGGUUGGACACACUGCGCCCAGCACAAUCUCUUUUCAAUGGAGAGAGGGGCAGUCCGUUAUCAGCUCGAGGCACCAUCAUUCAUUAAGACAUCAUUUGCCUCUCGCCAGCAGAGCCGAAGCAGCAAAUCUGUAGGAUGUCAUAUUAAGGUGUGAUAAUGAAAGAUAGGCAGAACGGGAUUAACAAAGGGGUCCUCUCCACAUUAUACCUUCCUCUGACUACUUUGCUCAGUCCCAGCCUUUUAUGAUCUCCUAAGGGAACAUUUCAAAGGGGUGCGUGGAAGUUGGGCCCGCAAAUCCAAUUAAUUGCAGAUGUGGUUUGUGCCUAGAAUCACCGCGCACCACUUCAAAAGCAGCUGCCUGAGUGCAGCAGGACGUUGAAUGGAAAAUAUUGGGCAUACAGUGCUGGAGAAGGGCUGAAGUGGUCACCAAAUCUAGCUCCAAAUCUGGCAGCAGGGAUGCUAUGAGGGGAAAAGUCCCUAUGUCUGUCCCUUCUUUCCUUCUUCCUGAGGAGCAGCCACUACCUGUGGCACUGGGGACUGGAAAUGCAGCUGGGAAUCAGCUAGCCCAAGAAAUCACCUGCACAAUCCUACACAAGCCAUCCCCUGGAGAGAAUGAACCUGGUGCCCAAACACACGGAGGGAACCUUAUUUCUAUCUAAUUUCUGCACUUAUAUGGCUUUUAUCCAAUUAUCAGACUUUUUACCAUCUAUAAUGUGUUUUUCUUCCCAGCAUACAGCCAAUUGCCCAGAAGGCAACUGCAUUGCCCGUGGAUGCAGUGAUAUGACCAAGUUCACCCAAAGUCUGUGUCAGAGAAAGGAGCUGAGCCCAGGGCUCAUGCAGCAGGGACCAACCAUCACAGCAUAGGGCCUGGAUGCACUUCAUGGAAAAGGAUAUAGUGGUUGAAAAAGGGCCCAGUGUAAAUCCUGCCCUGCCUCUGCCAGUGCUGAGAUCAGCAGGUUUUAAGUCUAAUUCCAGCAGAAGAUUUCUGCCUGUGCCAGAUGUGGUUUUCAGAUGCUGCACUGUGGCUUUGCUGCAUUCCUGGCCCACUGCAGCCAAGCAGACCCCUGGAGCCUUGCCAGAGAGGGAGAAGGUAAGCAAGAUCCCAAGGUGCCCCUCUCAACUGGAUGAUGCAUUUCAGCUUUGCUUCCAAGCCUUCCAGAAGGCACCAGCCCCUCUGCCCAGGUAUUAUUCUUGGGCACUCUCAAAAUAGCUGCCUUUGCCUGGGAAUCAGAGAGGAGAGCUCAGUGAGUCCCCCUGAAUCUCCAGCUGCAGUAAUAUGUUGUUAUGAACCUCUACCAGAGCACUCGUAGUGCAGCUGGAGAGUCUGUCUGACAUUGCCUCCAGUGACCUUUUCGCUAUAGUCCAAGUGCUGUGGAGCUGGUGUUUCAAGAGGAAUUCAAAUGGAAUUUACUCAGGCAGAAAGGAUUGGCCUGGGGAUAGCCCUUCUACAGCUUCUGGUUCUCCUUGUCAUUCUCAUGGAAAUUGCAAUUCUUUAUGCAUGGUGCUUCUUCCUGCACCGCAGCAAAUGCGUCCCUUCAAGCAGCAGGCUGCUAACAGAGGGGCUCCAAAAUGAAGGCAUAACCCAUUACAAGGUCACAACGUGGCCAUGAGCCCUGACACCAAAACUGGCUGGUGGACAUCAGGCACCCGCCUCGAGUUCCAGGAUGCAGCUUGUUUACGUGGGAUGCGAGCAGCAGGGAUUUGUGUAAGCUUCGGGGCAUGGGGGAUUUGACGCAGGGCUCUGUAGGGCAGGGGGCAGCGGGGCAGCUGGUUGGUGCUCAGAGCUGAUGGCAAAGGGCUGAGUCCCUGCUUGGUGUGGGCAAAGUGUGUGCUGGGGGAGCAUCACAUUUCUUCAUGCGCUUUUCUGGCGCGGUGCGAUUAUUUCACACGUGUUUGUAUGAGAGCUGCUUUAAAAUGUAAUUUCUUUGAUUAAUUUGGUGUCUGUAUUUUCACUGUUUUGUUCGCUCCAAUUUAUGACAAAAUUGAACAAAGUGGGUAACAAAAUAUAGCCCUGUCAGGCUCCUGUCUUCACGGAUAUAAAGAAAAAUGUGAAACUGUCAGGCACACAAAUGUGCCAAACCCCAAGGAAAAUUAUUACAUUCUGCUUGACAUUUACUUUAAUUUUACAAAAUUCUGUAAUACCAUUAUAAAUAAUAAUAAUAAAAAGCAGCAUGGAAAUAUU